rnacentral:rRNA from 1 species
UACGGAGGGGGCAAGCGUUGUUCGGAAUUACUGGGCGUAAAGGGCGCGCAGGCGGCUGCUCAAGUCAGGCGUGAAAGGCCUGGGCUCAACCCGGGAAUUGCGCUUGAGACUGGGCUGGCUUGAGUGCGGGAGAGGGUGGUGGAAUUCCCAGUGUAGAGGUGAAAUUCGUAGAUAUUGGGAAGAACACCGGUGGCGAAGGCGGCGACCUGGUCCUUGACUGACGCUGAGGCGCGAAAGCGUGGGGAGCAAACAGG